rnacentral:SRP_RNA from 1 species
GCCGGGCGAGGUGGCAGCGCCUGUAGUCCCAGCUACUCGGGAGGCUGAGGCAGGAGAAUGGCAGGAACCCGGGAGGCGGAGCUUGCAGUGAGCUGAGAUCCGGCCACUCACUCCAGCCUGGGCGACAGAGCGAGACUCCGCCUCAAAAACAAAAAAAGAAAAAGAAAAAGAAGUAGAAGGAAGUUUUUUGUUUGUUUGUUUUUUUGAGACAGAGUCUCGCUCUGUCGCCCAGGCUGGAGGGCAGUGGCGGGAUCUCAGCUCACUGCAAGCUCCGCCUCCCGGGUUCCGGCCAUUCUCCCGCCUCAG